rnacentral:rRNA from 1 species
AUGGGCGAAAGCCUGACGGAGCAACGCCGCGUGAGGGAUGAAGUCUCUAGGGAUGUAAACCUCUGUUGGGAGGGACGAAGAUCUGGCGGUACCUCCUGAGGAAGCCCCGGCUAACUACGUGCCAGCAGCCGCGGUAAUACGUAGGGGGCAAGCGUUAUCCGGAUUUACUGGGCGUAAAGAGCGCGUAGGCGGUUCCGUAAGUUGGUUGUGAAAGUUCGAGGCUCAACCUCGAAACUGCGUCCAAUACUGCGGGGCUGGAGUGCAAGAGAGGCAAGUGGAAUUUGCGGUGUAGUAGUGAAAUGCGUAGAUAUCGCAAGGAACACCAGUGGCGAAGGCGGCUUGCUAGCUUGUAACUGACGCUGAGGCGCGAAAGCUAGGGGAGCGAACGGGAUUAGAUACCCCGGUAGUCCUAGCCCUAAACAAUGUUCACUAGGUGUUGGUGGUAUUGACGCCAUCAGUGCCGCAGCUAACGCAUUAAGUGAACCGCCUGGGGAGUA